GAUGAACGCUGGCGGCGUGCCUAAUACAUGCAAGUCGAGCGAACAGACGAGAGUGCUUGCACUCUCUGACGUUAGCGGCGGACGGGUGAGUAACACGUGGGUAACCUACCUAUAAGACUGGGAUAACUUCGGGAAACCGGAGCUAAUACCGGAUAAUAUUUAGCUUGGCAUGAAGCAAUAGUGAAAGACGGUUCUGCUGUCACUUAUAGAUGGACCCGCGGUGUAUUAGCUAGUUGGUGAGGUAACGGCUCACCAAGGCAACGAUACAUAGCCGACCUGAGAGGGUGAUCGGCCACACUGGGACUGAGACACGGCCCAGACUCCUACGGGAGGCAGCAGUAGGGAAUCUUCCGCAAUGGACGAAAGUCUGACGGAGCAAUGCCGCGUGAGUGAAGAAGGUUUUCGGAUCGUAAAACUCUGUUGUAAGGGAAGAACAAGUACGUUAGUAACUGAACGUACCUUGACGGUACCUUACCAGAAAGCCACGGCUAACUACGUG
rnacentral:rRNA from 1 species